rnacentral:rRNA from 1 species
AUUGAACGCUGGCGGCAGGCCUAACACAUGCAAGUCGAGCGGAUGAAGGGAGCUUGCUCCUGGAUUCAGCGGCGGACGGGUGAGUAAUGCCUAGGAAUCUGCCUGGUAGUGGGGGAUAACGUCCGGAAACGGGCGCUAAUACCGCAUACGUCCUGAGGGAGAAAGUGGGGGAUCUUCGGACCUCACGCUAUCAGAUGAGCCUAGGUCGGAUUAGCUAGUUGGUGGGGUAAGGGCCUACCAAGGCGACGAUCCGUAACUAGUCUGAGAGGAUGAUCAGUCACACUGGAACUGAGACACGGUCCAGACUCCUACGGGAGGCAGCAGUGGGGAAUAUUGGACAAUGGGCGAAAGCCUGAUCCAGCCAUGCCGCGUGUGUGAAGAAGGUCUUCGGAUUGUAAAGCACUUUAAGUUGGGAGGAAGGGCAGUAAGUUAAUACCUUGCUGUUUUGACGUUACCAACAGAAUAAGCACCGGCUAACUUCGUG